rnacentral:piRNA from 1 species
GUUCGCUUGAACCCUUCCAGA